CGACCGGGUGAGUAACACGUGACUAACCUACCCUAGAGUGGGGGAAUAAACCUCGGGAAACCGGGGCUAAUACCGCAUAACAUCACGAGACGUAAACGCUUGUGAUCAAAGGAGCAAUUCGCUCAAGGAGGGGGUCGCGGCUGAUUAGUUAGUUGGUGAGGUAACGGCUCACCAAGACUUAGAUCAGUAGCCGGCCUGAGAGGGCGCACGGCCACACUGGAACUGAAACACGGUCCAG
rnacentral:rRNA from 1 species